rnacentral:rRNA from 1 species
GAUCAUGGCUCAGAUUGAACGCUGGCGGCAGGCCUAACACAUGCAAGUCGAGCGGUAGCACAGAGAGCUUGCUCUCGGGUGACGAGCGGCGGACGGGUGAGUAAUGUCUGGGAAACUGCCUGAUGGAGGGGAUAACUACUGGAAACGGUAGCUAAUACCGCAUAACGUCGCAAGACCAAAGUGGGGGACCUUCGGGCCUCAUGCCAUCAGAUGUGCCCAGAUGGGAUUAGCUAGUAGGUGGGGUAACGGCUCACCUAGGCGACGAUCCCUAGCUGGUCUGAGAGGAUGACCAGCCACACUGGAACUGAGACACGGUCCAGACUCCUACGGGAGGCAGCAGUGGGGAAUAUUGCACAAUGGGCGCAAGCCUGAUGCAGCCAUGCCGCGUGUGUGAAGAAGGCCUUCGGGUUGUAAAGCACUUUCAGCGGGGAGGAAGGCGAUAAGGUUAAUAACCUUGUCGAUUGACGUUACCCGCAGAAGAAGCACCGGCUAACUCCGUGCCAGCAGCCGCGGUAAUACGGAGGGUGCAAGCGUUAAUCGGAAUUACUGGGCGUAAAGCGCACGCAGGCGGUCUGUCAAGUCGGAUGUGAAAUCCCCGGGCUCAACCUGGGAACUGCAUUCGAAACUGGCAGGCUAGAGUCUUGUAGAGGGGGGUAGAAUUCCAGGUGUAGCGGUGAAAUGCGUAGAGAUCUGGAGGAAUACCGGUGGCGAAGGCGGCCCCCUGGACAAAGACUGACGCUCAGGUGCGAAAGCGUGGGGAGCAAACAGGAUUAGAUACCCUGGUAGUCCACGCCGUAAACGAUGUCGAUUUGGAGGUUGUGCCCUUGAGGCGUGGCUUCCGGAGCUAACGCGUUAAAUCGACCGCCUGGGGAGUACGGCCGCAAGGUUAAAACUCAAAUGAAUUGACGGGGGCCCGCACAAGCGGUGGAGCAUGUGGUUUAAUUCGAUGCAACGCGAAGAACCUUACCUGGUCUUGACAUCCACAGAACUUAGCAGAGAUGCUUUGGUGCCUUCGGGAACUGUGAGACAGGUGCUGCAUGGCUGUCGUCAGCUCGUGUUGUGAAAUGUUGGGUUAAGUCCCGCAACGAGCGCAACCCUUAUCCUUUGUUGCCAGCGGUUAGGCCGGGAACUCAAAGGAGACUGCCAGUGAUAAACUGGAGGAAGGUGGGGAUGACGUCAAGUCAUCAUGGCCCUUACGACCAGGGCUACACACGUGCUACAAUGGCAUAUACAAAGAGAAGCGACCUCGCGAGAGCAAGCGGACCUCAUAAAGUAUGUCGUAGUCCGGAUUGGAGUCUGCAACUCGACUCCAUGAAGUCGGAAUCGCUAGUAAUCGUAGAUCAGAAUGCUACGGUGAAUACGUUCCCGGGCCUUGUACACACCGCCCGUCACACCAUGGGAGUGGGUUGCAAAAGAAGUAGGUAGCUUAACCUUCGGGAGGGCGCUUACCACUUUGUGAUUCAUGACUGGGGUGAAGUCGUAACAAGGUAACCGUAGGGGAACCUGCGGUUG